CACAUUAAAACCAAAUGCAUUUUUCUGCACAAGACAAAUAUAAAUUGAGUGUUUAAUAACUUAAAGUUUUGUCAAUCUCUCUCCACAACACACGUGAAAAGAAAUAAAGAGAGAAAGAAAGAAGCAAAUCAUCAUGUUGCUUCAAAUUAAUCCGUGUUCGAGCUUCCCUUUGAAAUACCAUCCUUUGCAACACGCUGGU
rnacentral:lncRNA from 1 species